UGGGGAAUAUUGCACAAUGGGCGAAAGCCUGAUGCAGCGACGCCGCGUGAGGGAUGACGGCCUUCGGGUUGUAAACCUCUUUCAGUAGGGAAGAAGCGAAAGUGACGGUACCUGCAGAAGAAGCGCCGGCUAACUACGUGCCAGCAGCCGCGGUAAUACGUAGGGCGCAAGCGUUAUCCGGAAUUAUUGGGCGUAAAGAGCUCGUAGGCGGUUUGUCGCGUCUGCCGUGAAAGUCCGGGGCUCAACUCCGGAUCUGCGGUGGGUACGGGCAGACUAGAGUGAUGUAGGGGAGACUGGAAUUCCUGGUGUAGCGGUGAAAUGCGCAGAUAUCAGGAGGAACACCGAUGGCGAAGGCAGGUCUCUGGGCAUUAACUGACGCUGAGGAGCGAAAGCAUGGGGAGCGAACAG
rnacentral:rRNA from 1 species